CUGCCUGGGAGAUGAGGAGAGAGAAGUUUGCCGGCGGCUCGUCCCCUCAACAUUCACCGUGAUUUCAUUUACACGAGGAAGAGCAACAACAGCCAGCGGUGAAGCAUUUUUGCUGGUCCGGGGAAUGCUUAGGACUAAACCACAGCCCAGACCAAGUCAAGUCUUUAUCUGCGUGUUUAUAAAUCAAAUAAAAACAUCCGACAGUCACCGUUGAUGUCGCUAAAGUAGUAGAAACUCGGGUCAGUGGGACAGCGGCCGGACGCGGACUGUUGUCUGACGGAGACGCUGCUUGUCUGAUCGUCUUAUCCUGUGUUUUUAACCGUUGUUUUUGGGUCCCGGAGCAGUAGAGGAGAAGAAAAGACGGAGGCGACGAGAAGAUAAGAAGAAAAGCAGCCCAGUGAAAGUAACAGCGUGCGACUCAGGAUGAAUAACGUCAAAAACGACAAAGAGAACGAGCAGAGUGAAUACACCAACCACGAAGAGGAGGUCCGAACGCUAUUCGUCAGUGGGCUGCCGCUGGAUAUUAAGCCGAGGGAGCUUUACCUCCUGUUUAGACCAUUUAAGGGUUAUGAAGGCUCCCUGAUAAAACUCACCUCCAAACAGCCGGUAGGGUUUGUCAGCUUUGACAGCCGAUCAGAGGCGGAGGCUGCCAAGAAUGCCUUGAACGGGGUCCGAUUUGAUCCGGAAAUCCCCCAAACCUUGCGGCUGGAGUUCGCCAAGGCCAACACCAAGAUGGCCAAGAACAAGCUGGUCGGCACUCCCAACCCCCCUCCCUCCCAACAGAGCCCUGGGCCGCAGUUCAUCAGCAGAGACCCAUAUGAGCUCACAGUGCCUGCUCUAUAUCCCAGCAGCCCAGACGUGUGGGCAUCAUACCCACUCUACCCGGCGGAGCUGUCGCCGGCCCUCCCACCCGCUUUCACCUAUCCCUCCUCUCUCCACGCUCAGAUCCGUUGGCUCCCACCUGCAGAUGGAACUCCUCAGGGAUGGAAGUCCAGGCAGUUCUGCUGAAGUAUGUAAACCAGGAGAACUGACCUGACUUCCAGCUUCUGAUGCAGCGUACCGUCGGCAGCAGCAGCCUAAGGACAUACUAGACCCCAGCCUCCAUCACACAUUGAACCCCAACCACCUGCCCCCUAAAUUCCUCCUAAUUCUCUUUUUAUACUGUUACAUAGCCUAGACUUACAGGCAGUGCUUUGGCUUCACCUCUGUGAUCCGUACCAAGGUGUGUGUGUGGCUAAACACACACUUGGUGUAGCUAGUUGACUCUCUGAGGCCACAGCCAUGUUUGAACAUUAUUGUUUUGAAAUGCAGAAUUAUUGCUAAUUAAUUAUUUAAUUAUUGAAGUGUUCACACUGCUCCAAAGUACUUCAGUGUAAUACACAUUAUACACAAGUUUUUUUUUUGUUUUUUUUUUCUGGUCUGUCUAGUUAAUGGCAAAUGGUCAACUAACAGUUCUGCUCAGACGAUUGUUCUGCAGAUCAGAUAGUGUCUGGUUCUCCAACCCUGGUUGUGUGAGUGUGGACACAGCUUCCCACAAGCAGGUUCAAGCUCUUUGUGUUUUGCAAUAUGCAAGUGUGAAGAUGUCCCAUCACAGGAGUACAAGUCCGUCUUACGCGGUCACUUCGCCAGGCCAGAGGUGUGGCCAAAGCACUGCUGGACAAUGUUAUUAUAUUACUAUAAUUAUCAUUAUUCUGUAUAUCAUUCAUAUUAAUGUUAUUACAAUGAUUAAAAUCCAUGUUGAAGCAUGACUUUGCAAAAAAAGACAAAAAAAAACUAAUAGAAAACAAUGCUGUACAUUUUUUAGAUAUUUUAAUGAAAUACAAAAAAAGGUAUUUUUGUAAUCCAGUUUGAUUGGUUUAUGUUGUUGCUGUUUUGUUGUUUUUUUUUGUUUUUUUUUUUUGUCCUAGCAAGUUACCGUGGUAUACCAAAGCUGUUGGUGUGCUCCUUCCCCAUAUACUGAGUGUGUACAGUAGAUUCUGGUUUUGCUUGUGCGUGUUUUUCGUGUGUGAGUCCCAUGUCUGCGGGGCAUUGGUUCUUCUGAGCCGUGGAUGCUACCACCGGGGGAGAAAAAAAAAAACUAAAACACUCCCAGACCAAGUGGGUUUGCAGUUUGAAGUAAUCAAAUGUGCUAAAAGAGGCAUUAACAGUUUGUAAGGCCGCAGCGGUGAGGAGUGGUGUGACUCCAGGGACUGCACUAGAUGACAAACUGAGUCCUGCUAUAAUUAGGAAGACGUCUCUUUAUUGUCUGGCAGCACAGUACAAAGAAACGAAGACCAAAGGCAUUUAUUUUUUACACUGGAAGGAGUGGAGUCGUAUGGUUUCUGACUGACUUUGUUGUCUGCAAUCUGACUUCUUAUCAAGUUAAAUCCUUUUUUUUUUUUUUUUGCUGCAUGUCUCUGCUGGUGUCACUCCAAAGAGCCUCUUUGAGUUCAGAAGGAUCUUCACUUUAAGCCAUUUUUGUCUUUUUCUCUAUUUUUAGCCGGUCGGCGCGACUCCUUUUUUGUAAAGUCAGAAUUUGCAUACACAUCAUCGUUACGGGGGGGGUUAAAAAGGAAGUCUUUUGUAUAAAAGUGUGCGUAUUCUGGGCCUGCAAUCACAUCCUGAUCAUGUCACAAAAUCAUUAAGUGUCGAUGUUUCCGUGACAACAAAGAGAGACCAAUUCUUGUACCAGAUGAAGCCAAGUCUGAUUUUAUUAGCCAGAAACAUCAACUAAAAGACAGCAAAUAUCCAUAUAUGCUAAACGUACAAUCAUGUAGGCCUGGUUGAAUUAUGUAGUCAGUGUUUGUAAUUAAUUAAUAUGAAUUAUAAUAGUAAUAAUAUUAAUAUGCACACGUGUAAUAUUGACUGAUUUGAGGCAGUUUUUUGCUCUUACAGACAUUUUUAAGCCACAAUUGGCAGCAAAUUUAUAAGUAUUUAUAUGACGUGUGCGUGUGUGUGUUUUUUUAUGGGUAUUCUGCUUCGGAAUUUUCUAGACGCCCAGCAUUUAAUUCAUUGUAGGUAUUGCAGUAAGUCUAAGUUUGUGUUUUAAUUUUAAUGUAGUCGUUUCCCCCCUUUCUAGAGCUUCUGAGUUUUGUUUUGGUUUUUGUUUUGUUUUUUUUGAUCAGAACAUGUGAAAAUACAAAUGCUGUUUUUAUGGUCACUGUGAAAUCCAGACUUGUCACAUGGACAGAUUUUUUUUUUUUUUUUUUUUAAUGCAUCAGUACAGUUCGGAAGCGUCUGGAUGUUAAUACAAUAAUCCCUCCUCUUUCCAAUGACAUAUACACCUUAUUUAAUUAUACCGUGUGCAUAUCUGUGUGUCCUGAGCAUGUUCACAGCAUGUGUGUGUGUGUGUGUGUGUGUGCGCGAGCGCGUUUCUUUCAUUACUGCAUACAGUACUGUUGAUAUUUAUGUACUUUAGCCGCUGUGUAAGAAGAAGCUGUAUUUCAGUGAAGCGCAGAUGUGUGUGUUUGUUUGAAACAAAAAAAAAAAAAAAAAACAUGAUUAAUAUGAGAAGUUUUUAUGACCAUGUAAAUGAAGACAUUUUUGGCCAUCUGCCAUUAAAAUCAUCAACGUCC